GGGAUAUUCCGGCACUGGUGGUGGCUGGUUGAGGCCGCAGAGAGCUCCAUCCUACACNCUGCAAACAAAGAAAGAAUAUCAAGCUGACCGGUGGUGUCGGGCCGUUUUGAAGAUCGUCGGCCCUACCACCACCAAGCGGACCCCUUAUGCCCUUCCAAGGGGGGUGUUUUUGAUUUGUGGCGACCGAGCGUGGGCAGGCAUCCCCUCUGGUCUGGUCGGAGGGCCGUGCACCUUUGGCCGGCUGACGCUGUUUACCCCCAACGUCACCCAAAUUAUCAAUUGGAAAAGGACCAACAUCACAUCCGAAUUGGCCAGAUCCAAAAGAGAUCUCAAUGAUCUCACCGAGGAUUGUGAUGAUGAACUUACUCAUUGGUCACAUUCAAAGUCUGUCGCCUUUACCCUUUUGUUGCCUUGGGUAUCGGUAGCUAAAUCUCUAGGUGAAUUGGGCCGCCUAGAGUGUUGGGUGGCUAAACAAGCCAAUCUUACUUCAGCCGCGCUAUACGACCUCCUUACAGACGAGGAAAUUACAAGGAAGGCGACGCUCCAAAACAGAGCAGCAAUAGAUUUUCUAUUGCUGCUCCAUCACCAUCACUGUGAGGAGUUUGAGGGCCUCUGCUGUCUGAACCUGUCCUCAAGAGCUGAGGACGCCAGACACUCCAUCAAAAGACUCCAAGACCUCGUCCAUCAGGUCAAACAGGAGACAUCGGACUGGCUGGGAGACAUUUUCAAGGGUUGGGGCCUUAGUGGGUGGGCCAGCUCAGUCUUAGAAUCAGUUUGUAAAGUAGUUUUAAGUUUGAUUGUACUUUUAGUUUUGUUCACACUAGUCCGCGGUUUGGUCCAAAGACUAAUAGCCAGAGCAACAUCAAAGACUGUCAAUCAUGCCGCACUUCCUCUGGAAGAACACUUCGAGCUGGAAGACCUUUCCUCAGAGGCCGAAGGAGCUGCAGACGAGGAGGAGUCAACUGAGCCGACUCAAGAACAUCUGUGGACUGGCGAACUACAGCUCGAAGAAAGUGAAGAUUGGCAGGACCAGCCGCGGGCAUCUUCUUUUUGAGUUGCAUGGACACUCUAGUUUUCUUUAUUUUAUUUGUUAAGAAACGGGGAGAUGUUGUAGUGUGUUUUUAAGUUUGCUCCCCCAUUUUAUGUAUUGUAUCCCCCUGUUCUUGUAAAUGGUUCCUCCCUCCCCAGUUUUCCCGCCACUGCUCCUCUGGCAGUUGGUUUCCGUAGCAACCCCUGCUUUCAAUCAGUUGUGUUAUAUAAUUCCUCCUCCCUUAUAAGUAAUGUUUUCUUCUCCCUG
rnacentral:lncRNA from 1 species